CCUACGGGAGGCAGCAGUGGGGAAUUUUCGUCAAUGGAGGGAACCCUGACCGAGCCAAGCAGCGUGAAGGAAGAAUGCUUUCUGGUUGUAAACUUCUUUUAAUAGGGAAGUGCAGCAAACCGUGCCUCUUGUAUAAUCCACGGCUAACUACUUGCCAGCAGCCGCGGUCAUACGUAGGUUGCAGGCAUUGUCCGGAUUUAAUGGGUGUACAGGGCGUGUAGCCGGGUUGAAAAGUCAGAUGUGAAAGUCCGGGGCUCAACCGCGGACCUGCAUUUGAAACUGUUGGUCUUGAGUAUAGGUGAGGUAGGCGGAAUUCGUAGUGUAGCGGUGAAAUGCGUAGAUAUUAGGAGGAACACCAGUGGCGAAGGCGGCCUGCUAGACGACAACUGACGGUGAGGCGCGAAAGCGUGGGGAGCAAACAGGAUUAGAUACCCGGGUAGUC
rnacentral:rRNA from 1 species